CUGAGCUGGCACCUACUCUGCCAGCGUCACAGACCUAAUUCUUUUGGAACCCAGUAAUACUUUUGGCCUUAACGACAACCCUGGCAAUGAGUCCCACAGGUUGGCUGUGCAUUGUAUUCUGCUGCGGAUUUUGCUGUAGUGCGGUUUAGGAUCCAUUGAGGCACAAGCCCUGUUGAUGGCCUGGAGAGUGUCAUUAGCACACAGCCAGACAUGGAAAAGAACUGGAAGAGGAGCGGAGGUUGCAAAGCAGCAGCUGGGGGGCACAAUGCCCCACAUGGGGUUGAUCAGCUCCGAACAGGGAAGCAGGGAAUGUUCCAGAAAAGGAAGGGAUGCCGGCCUUGUGCACAGGUUAAAGCCUUCACAGAGCAUCCCAAGGUGCAGGGCUGGGGGAACCUGGAGAUCCUGUGGGAGGCAGGACUGGAGGAGAAGUGAAAGUCCACUGGGAAAGGUGAGGCUCCAGAGCUGGGCUCCCGCCGAACCUGUUCCAGCCGUCCCUUCUUCCGCAGAUCUCUAGAGUCACAGAGUGUUGCCUUGUGGGACUGUCUGGCUCUGGCUUCUCUACACCUACCCUGGCUGCUGCCCUUGGUCUCCAGUUGUCCAGCCCCGGAUGCACCUUGUGGAACAAAAAGGUUCGGCUGCCCUGCCGAGGCAAGGCCCAAGCCCACAGAUUUGCUACUAGCCCGAGAAAGAAAGUCCUGCCCUGACCAUCCCUGCAUCGGUAUCAUUACACUGGCGCCCCAGGCAAGACACCUGUGAGCUGGCGGAGGCUCUACACACUGACCAACUACCGAAGAGAAGAAAUAACAAGGAAAUGUUGUCAUUUUUCAAACUCACAAACAGUAGCUCCGGGUGGGUGCCACUCCGCCCACUGCCAGGGCCUGGGUGGCAAACCGCCGAGGAGCCAGCCAGUGGCCAGCGCAGCAGUAGCCAAAGCAGAGACCUUCAGCCACUCAGAGAAUUGUCUGCAGUGUAGACUGGACUUUCUCCACCCUGCACUUAUUGGCUGUUUGCUCUGACUCUCACCCCCCGACACACACACACACGCACCUGCCCCUCCUUCUCCUUCCUUCCCAGCCCUGUCCCCCUCUCCACCCUUUCCUUCACUUGUCUUUUCAUGGAGCUGAUCCCCUCCUCAGUAAACCUUCCCCCCAGCAAACAUUGUACUGCUAUUUGCUAGGGACUGGGGAGGUUUCCUUUGCUACCACCCCACUGUUCACCCUGCUGGUGCAUUCUACCCUUCCCCUGCCCUGUGUCCAUCUGAGCUAUUUAGAUUGUCAGCGCUUCAGGGUGGGGACCGUUGGCUACUCCAUUUCUGAACAGCGCCUAGCACAACGGGCCCUAGUCUUGCUCGUUUUGCACCACCAUUAAGAACAGAGAUUGAUAAUAAGCUCCGGAGGUUAAUGGGCUAACGACGCACACAGCUUGGUGGGGCUCACUCAUCUGGACCAGAAGUGUGUUUAUAUUGUGUUAUAAAUAAAUAUGUACCUAAAUAGCAGCUAUUCUCCACUGCCACUCAGCCUAGCCAGCACCCAGAGACUGAUGUCAGAGCACAGGUGGGUCUGAAAGAGGGUUACAGAUUAGUUCAUGUGUAGGGGGUCCCGGGGAUGAGUGUACGGAGCUGUUUGUGGGAGAAGACCAAGUGGAUGAAAUGGAGGGAUGGGCCUAGUAAUGUGCUAAUAGAUGUAAGAAGGAAGCAGGCAGUGGACGUGCAACAAGUCUCCUGAAAUUGAUGCAGUGGGAAAUGGGGAGCCAGCAGGAGCCAAGGGAUCCAGUGACUUGCAACUGGAGAAAGAAUCCAGAUCUUGAAAAGCUCGGUCUGAACCUUUAAUCAUCUUUCCGCCACACCAGGCAACAUUUCCACUGGCAAAUAAAGUGUGUCAUGGUCAGAUUCUGCCCUGAAAGCAAAGGAGUUAAACCAAGCCCAUCAGUUCAAAACGCAGCUGCAGUAAUACCAUGUGCCCAUAGGUGGGCUUUAUAAGUCAUUCAUCAAGAGGGUGACCGUUAUUUCCCAAAGGGAAAAUGGGACACCGUGCGGGGCUAGCCCGAGUCCUCCCCCACCCCCACGGGGCUGGUCCAAGCCACUUAUCCGAGCCCCUCGCCCUGCGUGGGGACAGGCAGGGCUCGGGCUAGCAGGGAUGCACAUACUAGAUAGGGUGACCAUAUUUCCCAAAGGCUGGGGCUGGUGUUGCUGCUCGCUCAAGCCCUGCAUGCCCCCUGCCUAAGCCCAGUCUCCCCCUCACGAAUGAGACUGGCAUUCCCACUUGCCCCUCGUCCUCCACAUUUUUGACAAAAGCGGGCAUUUGUUCCAUUUGCUCUUGCGAACUGAUCAAGAGCAAACAGGACAAAUGCCCACCUUUGCCAAAAAAGUCAGGAAGGCCAGGGACGGAGCUUAAAAAAGAAACUGUCCUGGCCAAAAUGGGCUGUAUGGUCACCCUGUUCCUCAAUGACCUGCACGUAACCGGUCAAUUAUCUCAGGCCGGUGUCUAAUGGAUGAACUCCCAGCUGAAUGCACACAGGCAGCUCAGUGACCGCCGGAAAGGGAAAACAGAGAGGAGGCUUAGUGAGGGCCCAGCGUUUUUACCUGUACAACAGUCGAAUCUCAGAGUUCUGAACACCUCAGGAAUGGAGGUUGUUCGUAACACUGAACAAAACGGUAUGGUUCUUUCUAAAGUUUACAACUGAACAUUGGCUUUGAAACUUUACUAUGUAGAAGAAAAAUGCUGCUUUUAACCAUCAUGAUUUAAAUGAAAGAAGCACAAACAGCUUGCUUACCUUGUCAAGUCGUUUUCUUAAAACUUUCCCUUUAUUUUUGUAUUAGUUUACGUUUAACCCAAUGAUGUACUGUAUUUGCUUUUUUUUGUCUUGCUGCUGCCU